AUUGAACGCUAGCGGGAUGCCUUACACAUGCAAGUCGAACGGAGUGGCGAACGGGUGAGUAAUGUAUCGGAACGUGCCCAGUAGCGGGGGAUAACUACGCGAAAGCGUAGCUAAUCCCGCAUACUAUUUGAGCGGCCGAAUCCGGAUUAGCUAGUUGGUGGGGUAACGGCUCACCAAGGCGACGAUCCGUAGCUGGUUUGAGAGGACGACCAGCCACACUGGGACGGAGACACGGCCCAGACUCCUACGGGAGGCAGCAGUGGGGAAUUUUGGACAAUGGGGGAAACCCUGAUCCAGCCAUCCCGCGUGUGCGAUGAAGGCCUUCGGGUGGUAAAGCACUUUUAGCAGGAAAGCGGUACCAUCAGAAUAAGCACCGGCUAACUACGUGCCAGCCGCCGCGGUAAUUC
rnacentral:rRNA from 1 species